AUGAUGGCGCUAAUUAGCGCCACAAAAAAUUAACAUUCAAGGAGUAU
rfam:Shewanella woodyi ATCC 51908, complete genome.